rnacentral:rRNA from 1 species
CCGGUAAACGGCGGCCGUAACUAUAACGGUCCUAAGGUAGCGAAAUUCCUUGUCGGGUAAGUUCCGACCUGCACGAAUGGCGUAAUGAUGGCCAGGCUGUCUCCACCCGAGACUCAGUGAAAUUGAACUCGCUGUGAAGAUGCAGUGUACCCGCGGCAAGACGGAAAGACCCCGUGAACCUUUACUAUAGCUUGACACUGAACAUUGAGCCUUGAUGUGUAGGAUAGGUGGGAGGCUUUGAAGCGUGGACGCCAGUCUGCGUGGAGCCAACCUUGAAAUACCACCCUUUAAUGUUUGAUGUUCUAACGUUGGCCCCUGACCGGGGUUGCGGACAGUGUCUGGUGGGUAGUUUGACUGGGGCGGUCUCCUCCCAAAGCGUAACGGAGGAGCACGAAGGUUAGCUAAUCCUGGUCGGACAUCAGGAGGUUAGUGCAAUGGCAUAAGCUAGCUUGACUGCGAGCGUGACGGCGCGAGCAGGUGCGAAAGCAGGUCAUAGUGAUCCGGUGGUUCUGAAUGGAAGGGCCAUCGCUCAACGGAUAAAAGGUACUCCGGGGAUAACAGGCUGAUACCGCCCAAGAGUUCAUAUCGACGGCGGUGUUUGGCACCUCGAUGUCGGCUCAUCACAUCCUGGGGCUGAAGUAGGUCCCAAGGGUAUGGCUGUUCGCCAUUUAAAGUGGUACGCGAGCUGGGUUUAGAACGUCGUGAGACAGUUCGGUCCCUAUCUGCCGUGGGCGCUGGAGAAUUGAGGGGGGCUGCUCCUAGUACGAGAGGACCGGAGUGGACGCAUCACUGGUGUUCGGGUUGUCAUGCCAAUGGCACUGCCCGGUAGCUAAAUGCGGAAGAGAUAAGUGCUGAAAGCAUCUAAGCACGAAACUUGCCCCGAGAUGAGUUCUCCCUGAGACUUUAAGUCUCCUGAAGGAACGUUAAAGACGAUGACGUUGAUAGGCCGGGUGUGUAAGCGCAGCGAUGCGUUGAGCUAACCGGUACUAAUGAACCGUGAGGCUUAACCUU